ACGUACUCCCCUGCGUCCUCUGCGCGCAGCCCCAACACAGUGAGUGAGCGCACGGGCCCCUCGGCCACCAUCUGGAAGCGCUUGCCCACCCGAAGCUGUGUGUUGCCGCAGCGCCACACCACCUCUGCACACGCUGGGCUUAGCUCGCAGGCCAGUGUCACCGUGCCGCCCAGCUCGCCGCACACAGGCUCCAGCAGCCGGCAGAACUUGGCGGCCACCUCUGUGGGCACAAAGGGGACAUCAGCCGGGCUCUUAACAGACCAGACUUGAGCCCCAGCUUCGCCCCUGUCCAGCUCUGGGACAGAGGUGUCUGGAGGAGUCCCCGCCCCACGCCCCAUGCCCGGCUCACCUUCCACCUGCACUGGGAAGUCCUGCCCCUCUGCGCCCACACGGCAGCUGUAGAUGGCACUGUCCAGAACCUGGGCGCCAUGCACGGUCAGGGUGUGGGUGUCCCCCUGGCUGGCUGUCUCAUGCCGCUUGCUGCGGCGAAUCUCCACACCAUCCUUGAGCCAGGUCACCGUGGCCGCAGAGGGUGUGGCCAGUGUGGCGGUCAGGAUGAUGUCUUCAUGCUCCUUGACCACCAGAGGCUCCCUGCGGCAGGGUCUCUCUGAAAUUUGGGGCUCCAGCUCUGGGUAGAGGUGAGUUGGCAUGAGAGGGGGACCCUGUCAUCCCUGGACCGGCCCCGCUCCCCUUCAGGGCCACCCUAAUGCUACCUGGCACCCCUGAUACCCAUUGCUCUUCAAGGAUGGCCCAGUGCAGUCCUGAGCACCAUCAACCACCAUCCAGAAUCCCAGGGACCAUACAGUGUGGCCAUCAGCUUCAGGCGAGGUGGAUUCACCCAAAGCACUGACCUGCCACGUGCAGGCGGAAGGACAGCCGUUGGCCCCCCGCCUCACAGCUGUACUCCCCAGCAUCCGCCUGGCCCGCCUGCUGCACUACCAGCCUCCGUGUGCAGCCGCUGGCCUCCAUGCACACUUUUGAGCUGGAGCUCAGCUUCUUCCCGUCCUUGUACCAUGUCACCUCCAUCUGGCCCUGGGCCACCUCACAGCUCAGCGUGGCACUGGCCCCCGCCUCCGCCUGCACCUCCCUGCAUGCCGGCUGCUCCUUGGCAAACACCACCUUGGGCUCUGGGAUGGACAAGGAGGGAUGCAGGGUCAGAGGCUCCAGAGCAGACACAGCCCAUGUGUCAGCCCAGUGACAGCCAGGCAGGGCUGUCCAUCAUUAAGCAGUGCACGGUGACGCACAGAGCUCCCCCCGGCACUACCAGAGCCAAAGGUCUAAGGCUGCAUGUUGGCAGCACCACCAUCAUGUCCCUUGGGAACAGGAUGCGGCCCCUUCCCUGCCUCGGUCUUCCAGGGCCCUGGGGCCCUCACCUGUCGCCAGCCCUCCCCACCACACAGGGCCACAGGCAGUAGGACGUGAAGGGUCAGGAGAGAUGGACCAGCAACCUGGGCCAGCCCAGAGGCAGCGGAGUGUUGGCAGGGCCAUUGGAAAGAGGGUGCCAAGCUGAGCGUGGUCUGUUGUCCCCAGCUCAGGGACAGGGUGGAAGGGAGAUGGAUAUCAGAAAGACAGGUGGACACAUGGUGAUGACCAAGGGGCCCAGCACAGGCUUAAAGAGAUCUAGGGCCCAGAACACAGAGACAAGCCCCCACCACCCAGUACACGCUCUCCAGUCACUGCCGGGCCCUCCCAUGACCCAGCACCCACAGAGGAGUCAGCAGAUCACAUUAGACCAGACCCAGACCCCCACCCCAAGGACAUCACACCACUGUCCCCACCACCCAGACAGAGGUCAUCACAUCUGACCAGACCCGGACCCCAGACCCCCGAGGACAUCACGCUACUGUCCCUACCACCCAGACAGGGGUCCUCACAUGAGACCAGACCCAGACCCCAGACCCACACCCCAAGGACAUCAUGCUACUGUCCCUACCACCCCCAGCUCAGCCACUGCAGGGCACACACCAUGGUCAACUCAGCCCAUGGGCCUGCUCUAGUCUCAUGACAUAAGGACACUGGCCUGAGAGCUGCUGGGGAGAGCUGGGGACACAGAUUCUGAGGCCUACAGAGAGGGAAGGUGCCAGGGCCCACAGCACCUUGGGCCGCCCAAACAUGCCCUCGUAGUUUCACACCCAACACUCAGCAUCACCUCCAUUUUGCCUAACCCUGGCACCCACCAGCCACAUGCAGGUGGAAGGAGAGCCGCUGGCCCCCAGCCUCGCAGCUGUACUCCCCGGCAUCCGCCUGGCCUGCCUCCUGCACCACCAGCCUCCGUGUGCAGCCCACGGCCUCCACACGCAUUUUCGAGCUGGAGCUCAGCUUCUUCCCGUCCUUGUACCACAUAACCUCCGUCUGGGCUUGGGCCACCUCGCAGCUCAGCGUGGUGCUGGUCCCUGCCUCAGCCUGCACCUCCCUGUGCGCCGGCUGAUCCUUGGCAAACACCGCCUGCUCCUUGGCAAACACCACCUUGGGCUCUGGGGAUGGACAAGGAAGGACGUACAAGGUCAAAGAUACAGCCUAGGUCAGGAAGACCACCCUAGGAUAGGAGGGCCUGGAUGAGGAAGUAGGAGAAACAGAACCUUCCCCAGGCUCUGCACUGGCUGCGUGGCCGGGAGAAGUCCUGCCACCUCCCAGCGCAAGAAUCACAGUUUGUCUAUCCACUGUGCACGGCGCCAUGGGCUAUCACAGGUGGGGCAGCUAUGACAAACCCUCCAUGCAUGAGCUCCUCCAGGGCAGGGACUAGGGUACCUGCACAUGCAGCUCUUCUUCAAGCAUGUAUGGAGCUUUAAAUCCACUUGUCAUUUUUCAACCUUGCAUCCCCCAAAACCCCAUUUGUUUGGAUUUUGAUUGAGACUGAACGUCUUUCAUUCUUCCAUGGCUUCUAUCCACUUUAGAUCUUUACUGUCUCUCAAAAGUGUUUCAUAGCUUCCCCCACAGAACCUCUCGACAUCUUUUAUUAGACUGGGAUCAUAAACAUGAUGCCUUUGAGGCGUCUGUCAAUCUUUUACGUUUUCAUUUUCCAACUGCUUGCUGCUAGUCUACAUGUACGGAAGUUUCUUCACACAGAUCUUGCAAGGGUUGAUCUUUCUCAACUCUCUAAUAAUUUAUCUUCUGGGUAAACCGUAUCUUCUGUCAAUUCACUUUUUUCUAACUUUUACACCUUUCGUUUUACUUUCCUCCUAACUGUGCCAUCCAAUGCUGGAUGGAAGUGUUGACCACUGGCUUCCUCAUGCUGUCCCCUGGCUCAGAGGCAAAGCUUACAAAGUCUCCCUUUGUGAUUUUUGUGUAAUACCCUGUGUCAAAUUAGGAAAAAAAAACUUUUAUUUAUACUUUGUUAAGAAUUUUAUGGCAUGAUGGAUGCUAAAUUUUGCCAGACAUUUCUUCUGAAUAUAUGAGGUUAAAUUUUUAUCAAAUAUGGUACUUUAUUCUGAGUUUAAGAUAAUUACAUUGUUUUCAAAUUUCAAUCACAUAUCAUGAUUUUCUAAUGUUUUUAACAUGAAAGCAGCCCUCAUUCCUAGACUAUGAAUUUCAUCAUCCUGUAUGAUUGUCUUGAUGUAUUGCUGAAUUCAGUUUACUAAUAUUUUGUUUAAAAAAUUGGCCAUGAUAUCCAUAAUUCUUUGAUCUACAAUGUGCAAACUUCCUAUUUUCUGGCCAGAUUUUAGUCAUGGCAUUAAGCUAUCUGCAUAUAAUGAGUUAGAGGGUAUAUCUUCCUUUUUCCAUUCUCCAGAAGAAUUUCCAUGAACAUGGAAGAAUUUCUGGCCAGAACAUUUGGAAGAAUUUCUCAGUAGGGCCACAUGUUUGAUGAGAAGAUUUUUCACUACUGGUUCUAGUUUUUACUAGGUUGUAGUAACUGAGAUAACUUCAGUAACAGUAGAUAACUGCAUAUAGGUUAUCUAUUUCUUAAGUCUGUUUUUGGUUUCUAGAAAUUAUAUAAUUUGUUAACACUUUUCAAAUUU
rnacentral:antisense_RNA from 1 species